UACGGGGGGAGCAAGCGUUGUUCGGAUUUACUGGGCGUAAAGGGCGCGUAGGCGGCCAGCACAAGUCAGUUGUGAAAUCUCCGAGCUUAACUCGGAAAGGUCAACUGAUACUGUGCGGCUAGAGUGCGGAAGGGGCAACUGGAAUUCUUGGUGUAGCGGUGAAAUGCGUAGAUAUGACCCGGAACACCGAUUGCGAAGGCAGCCCACUAAGCAACGAUUGACGCUGAGGCACGAAAGCGUGGGGAUCAAACAGG
rnacentral:rRNA from 1 species